rnacentral:rRNA from 1 species
AGAGUUUGAUCCUGGCUCAGGAUCAACGCUGGCGGCGUGCCUAAAACAUGCAAGUCGGACGCUCCGCUUCGGCGGAGAGUGGCGGACGGCUGAGUAGCACGUGGGCGACCUGCCCCUUGGUGGGGGAUAACCGCCCGAAAGGGUGGCUAAGACCGCAUGAGCUCCCGGAUUCGGUUCCGGGAGGAAAGCUCGCAAGAGCGCCGAGGGAGGGGCCCGCGGCCGAUUAGCUUGUUGGUGGGGUAGCGGCCUACCAAGGCGACGAUCGGUAGCCGGUCUGAGAGGAUGGCCGGCCAGACUGGGACUGAGACACGGCCCAGACUCCUGCGGGAGGCAGCAGUUAGGAAUUUUGGGCAAUGGGCGCAAGCCUGACCCAGCAACGCCGCGUGGGCGAUGAAGCCCUUCGGGGUGUAAAGCCCUUUUCGGUGGGACGAAUCUGACGGUACCGCCGGAAGAAGCCCCGGCUAACUACGUGCCAGCAGCCGCGGUAAUACGUAGGGGGCAAGCGUUGUCCGGAUUCAUUGGGCGUAAAGCGCGCGCAGGCGGCUUGGAGAGCCCGGCGUGAAAGCCCCCGGCUUAACCGGGGGAGGCCGUCGGGGACCUUCAGGCUGGAGGCCGGUAGGGGAGAGCGGAAUUCCCGGUGUAGUGGUGGAAUGCGUAGAGAUCGGGAGGAACACCAGUGGCGAAGGCGGCUCUCUGGACCGGUCCUGACGCUCAGGCGCGAAAGCGUGGGGAGCGAUCCGGAUUAGAUACCCCGGUAGUCC